rnacentral:rRNA from 1 species
GGAAUUAUUGGGCGUAAAGCGCGCGCAGGCGGUUUCUUAAGUCUGAUGUGAAAGCCCCCGGCUCAMCCGGGGAGGGUCAUUGGAAACUGGGGAACUUGAGUGCAGAAGAGRAGAGUGGAAUUCCACGUGUAGCGGUGAAAUGCGUAGAGAUGUGGAGGAACACCAGUGGCGAAGGCGACUCUCUGGUCUGUAACUGACGCUGAGGCGCGAAAGCGUGGGGAGCGAACAGGAUUAGAUACCCUGGUAGUCCACGCCGUAAACGAUGAGUGCUAAGUGUUAGAGGGUUUCCGCCCUUUAGUGCUGCAGCAAACGCAUUAAGCACUCCGCCUGGGGAGUACGGUCGCAAGACUGAAACUCAAAGGAAUUGACGGGGGCCCGCACAAGCGGUGGAGCAUGUGGUUUAAUUCGAAGCAACGCGAAGAACCUUACCAGGUCUUGACAUCCUCUGACAACCCUAGAGAUAGGGCUUCCCCUUCGGGGGCAGAGUGACAGGUGGUGCAUGGUUGUCGUCAGCUCGUGUCGUGAGAUGUUGGGUUAAGUCCCGCAACGAGCGCAACCCUUGAUCUUAGUUGCCAGCAUUCAGUUGGGCACUCUAAGGUGACUGCCGGUGACAAACCGGAGGAAGGUGGGGAUGACGUCAAAUCAUCAUGCCCCUUAUGACCUGGGCUACACACGUGCUACAAUGGGCAGAACAAAGGGCASMGA